AAUUGUCCCAGCUUUCUCAACUGCGCCAUGGAAAUUUUCCACAACUGAGUCAUCGCUCGCUCUGGAUUUCAUACCAAAAAUAUUUUUUUUUCACCAUAGAUUACUUGUUUGUGCAUUUGGGAUGAUCCAGGACAAACGAAUUGGGAAACCGAUCUCUUUCCGGCACUAGGUAAGCGAUUGGUGGUUUGGAUGUCAAUGAGUGGAACGGUAGAAGGGUCGUCUCUGAACCCAAAUGCCCCACACUCUGUUCUGCAGCAGUUGCUGGAGUCAGUGGAGACAUUUUUGGAACACUUCCAUCAGUGUUGGCAACAAGAGAUGGCUCGCAAAGACUUGUUUGAGACUGCCUAUGUGGAGGCUUUAGUCAUGAACCUGAGCACCAAAUCUCCGAAAAAAGGCGUGAGGCCGGGUAAAUAUCGUGAAAAGCCUGUCCAAUGCGUAAGGCCAAAGGGUACCCCUCGCCGCAUCAUUCACCAGCCUCGCUGAGACUUGCUCUUUACGCGGAGCCUGUUAUCAGGGUGCUUCUUAUUGUACAUAUGCUGUGAUGGAUUUUGCUGUUGUUGCAGACCUUUGGUUGGCUUGUUCCA